GCCCUUCGUAUUACCGCGGCUGCUGGCACGGAGUUAGCCGGUGCUUCCUCUGAUGGUACCGUCAAGCUCCGAGGGUAUUAACCCCGGAGUUUUCUUCCCAAUCUGACAGAGCUUUACAAUCUAUAAGACCUUCAUCGCUCACGCGGCGUCGCUCGGUCAGGCUUUCGCCCAUUGCCGAAGCUUCUCGACUGCUGCCUCCCGUAGGAGUCUGGACCGUGUCUCAGUUCCAGUGUGGCCGUUCACCCUCUCAGGCCGGCUACCCAUCGUCGCCUUGGUGAGCAGUUACCUCACCAACUAGCUAAUGGGACGCGAGACCAUCUUAUACCACCGGAGUUUUGACUCAUGUAUCAUGCGAUACUAGAGUUUUAUGGGGUAUUAAUCCCGGUUUCCCGAGGCUAUCCCCCUGUAUAAGGCAGGUUUCUCACGCGUUACUCACCCGUCCGCCGCUUUCCUUCUUUUAAAUCACCCGAAGGUUCAUUAAAAGAAUUCUCGCUCGACUUGCAUGUGUUAGGCACGCCGCCAGCGUUCAUCCUGAGCCAUGAUCAAACUCAAGGGC
rnacentral:rRNA from 1 species